GGUCCCGCGUGGACCGAACCUCCCACCCUUGUCUCUUGUAUACCCUGUUGCUUUGGCGGGCCCACUGGGCUCUCCCAGUCGCCGAGGAGCCCCUGGGCCCCUGGGCCCGUGCCCGCCAGAGCGCCCUUGAACCCUCAUGAAGAUGGAUUGUCUGAGCAUGAUUGAUAAUAAUCAAAACUUUCAACAAUGGAUCUCUUGGUUCCGGCAUCGAUGAAGAACGCAGCGAAAUGCGAUAAGUAAUGUGAAUUGCAGAAUUCCGUGAAUCAUCGAAUCUUUGAACGCACAUUGCGCCCCCUGGCAUUCCGGGGGGCAUGCCUGUCCGAGCGUCAUUUCUGCCCUCAAGCACGGCUUGUGUGUUGGGUGUGGUCCCCCCCCGGGGACCUGCCUGAAAGGCAGUG
rnacentral:misc_RNA from 1 species